UACGGGAGGCAGCAGUGAGGAAUAUUGGGCAAUGGGCGAAAGCCUGACCCAGCAACGCCGCGUGAAGGAAGAAGGUCCUCGGAUUGUAAACUUCUUUUAUGAGGGACGAAGGACGUGACGGUACCUCAUGAAUAAGCCACGGCUAACUACGUGCCAUGCAGCCGCGGUAAU
rnacentral:rRNA from 1 species